rnacentral:rRNA from 1 species
UACGUAGGGGGCUAGCGUUGUCCGGAAUCAUUGGGCGUAAAGAGCGUGUAGGCGGUCCGGUAAGUCCGCUGUGAAAGUCGGGGGCUCAACCCUCGAAUGCCGGUGGAUACUGUCGGGCUCGAGUACGGAAGAGGCGAGUGGAAUUCCUGGUGUAGCGGUGAAAUGCGCAGAUAUCAGGAGGAACACCAAUUGCGAAGGCAGCUCGCUGGGACGUUACUGACGCUGAGACGCGAAAGCGUGGGGAGCAAACAGG